GUCUCUGGCUGUACCACCCCGAACAUGCCCUACCUCAUCUGGAUUCAGAAGCUAAGCAGGGUCAGUCCUGGUGAGUACAUGGAUAGAAGACAGAUCUUCAGAAGAGACUGCUCAGAGACA
rnacentral:rRNA from 1 species